CUUGUAAAGAGUGUACUAAUUGUUAAUUAGGUGUUGCUUUUAUUUAUACAACUCUAACCUAAAUCACAGAGGCGCAUGUUUCACAGACAAACAGUUUCACAGACAAACAGUGACCUUCCUUUGCCGCCCCGGAGGGGUGGUCACGUCCCCUGCCACCUCACGUUAGUGCCUCAGCUCCUAGCAGCAGAACUGGGGGAGGGGAGGUUUGUGAUCUGGAGCUCAGCAUAUGCUUGGCAACAUUUUUCUCAUUUCAUUAGCACUAAACAAGUCUUGCUCUCAGGAAUUUGUCAGAAAGGAAUAAAAACCACCUGAGAUUCCACAUACCAGAUUAUGAACUUUUCUUACAGGUUUGAAUUGCUUACUUACCUGUCAAAAAUUAACCACAGCUUCAUUUGACCACCGGAUCUUAAGUCUGUUGACAGUUUUCAGCAUGACCGAAUCGCUCAUUUUUUUGCUUUCAGAAAUUGGCUUGGUUCUCUUUAGAGUUGGUGUAAACAUGCCAUGUAAUAAAUGAUUUCCACUUAAUGGUACAACAGAAUUAUUGCUUUCUUAGAUGUAUGUGUAGUAAGAGUCAAUAUACACAUUUAUAUAAUUUCUUUCUUCAAAAUCUUAUACUUAAUUUGAUAUUUCUAAAAAUUGCACAUGUAAGUCAUGUGUAUAACAUGCUAAAGUACUUUAACUGUGAUCUUAAAACUGAAUAAAAAUAUUUAAUAAAAAUUUGAAAUAUUUUAAAGAUAUUAUUU
rnacentral:lncRNA from 1 species